UACGUAGGGUGCGAGCGUUAAUCGGAAUUACUGGGCGUAAAGCGUGCGCAGGCGGUGAUGUAAGACAGGUGUGAAAUCCCCGGGCUUAACCUGGGAACUGCAUUUGUGACUGCAUCGCUGGAGUGCGGCAGAGGGGGAUGGAAUUCCGCGUGUAGCAGUGAAAUGCGUAGAUAUGCGGAGGAACACCGAUGGCGAAGGCAAUCCCCUGGGCCUGCACUGACGCUCAGACGCGAAAGCUAGGGUAGCAAACGGG
rnacentral:rRNA from 1 species